CAACAUUCAACAUUCAUGUCUGCUGUCCAUCUAAAACUAUGGUUAAACAUUUUAUCAGCCUUUUGCAGACAUCCCACCCUGCCAAAUUUCAGAAGGCAUAAAUAUGAGGGGCCUGUACUUUCACUCGUGAUAAGACAGAGUUGUUUUGCCAACCUUCACAUUGCAGAACUUUAUAUCAGCUGCGUCACACAGAGGAAACAACAUAUUAACUGAGUUGUUUACAAGGGAAUUGGAGAUCUGUCCUGUAUUUAAAAACUGAAGUAACAAAACGGAAGUAGCCAAAAACAUCAAACUUCCUUCAGAGGAUGCCUUCGCCUAAAUAUAUUUUAAACGAAACACUUAAAUUUCUGAAACAAAAGCCAUUUUUCAGCACUUUUCCAUCAAGUCUUUUGUUAAUUGGAUUGGAGGAGUUGAUUGAAAAACAGUUUUUUUCAUGCCCUUGCAAAUAUGAACAGAAUGCACUGCUAACAACAUCCAUCUUCACUGGACCUACUCUUUUUAUUUUUGCUUUAAUGUUCUUCUGUUUUAGGGCAUUUAAACAGGAAUGGUUUCAUUGUGAUGGAAAUGAAAUGAAGAAAACAGAGAAAAAGAAGAAAACGAAGAAAAUGAAAAAAGAAAAUGAAGAAAAUGAUGAUGAAGGAAAUGAUGAGCUGAGCGAUGCAAAGGUUUUUGCUUAUUGCCUGUUUCCACCUCUUAUGUGGGUCAUCAUCUUGUUAUUUGAUGGUGAUUAUGUUGCUUGUGGCAUGACUGACUGGAAGGGAGUUUAUGGUUUUGAUAAGGAGCUCAGCAGGUCUUGGUGUAAACCUGCUGGAAUGAUGCGAAAUGAGGCCAAGCUACGAGAUUUGAAUGGCAAAUAUAUUUAUCAUUCUCAGUUUGCAGGUUACAUUAUGGUUGCUGUCUUCAGUUUUGUGGCAGUCAUCUUAAUUGUUAUUUAUAAUUGCUGCAUAAGUAAAAAAUGUGAUUCCUGCUCAAAACAAUUAUCCUGUGGCAGACGAACAGCAGAGCCACAGAGUGAGGGACAAGGUGAUGACCACGAACCAGAAUCUGUACCACUUGGAACUGUAAACACUUCCUCCAGCACUUCAACUGUAUAAACUUAAUUCAGGUUUAAUUUGAUUCAGGUUCAUGCAAGGGACCAAAACAGACACCAUGCAAUGAGACAAUAAACUUACUAAUCUGAAGAAAAGAUCAUGAAGCAAGGAAACAGAAAUCCAUUUGCUUGAUCUUCUCUCCUCACCCAUCCUAAAUCCCUCUCUCCCCACUCCUUUUCCUUUCACCCUGGCUGAAAGUUCACAAAGAAUGGCAAUACAUAUGAUGAAUCUUGUGCAUCUAUUGCUUUUUCUCUUUCAUGUUUGGUAUUACUUUAAAUGUCUCGGUGCGAUUGGUAAAAUUGUCUUAAUUUCACAGAAGUCAUUUAUAUUAUGAGAAAGAUUGAAAACUCUGAAUUCUGUUUAGUUGUUAGAGGGUUGUGGGUAACACUUUAUUUUAGAGUGUUUUAACUAGUUGCUUAUUAGCAUGCAUAUUACUAGAAUAAUGGCUGUUUAUUAGUACUUAUUAAGCACAUAUUAAUGCCUUAUUCUGCAUGACCUACCCAAUACCUAAACUUAACAACUACCUUACUGACUAUUAAUAAGCAUUAAAUUAGUAGUUUAUUGAGGGAAAAGUCAUAGUUAAUAGUUUAUAUGUGUUCCCUAUACUAAAGUGUUACCGGGUUGUGCCUCUCACAAGGUCUCUGGUGAGAAUGUUUUCCUAUCCCUGACCAGGCUUGACCCUUGGGUCACAGGAUCCUGUUCAACCAAAAGGUCUUCUGUAAUUUACAAUUUAGGUUUGAAGACUUCUUUGUUCUAGUCUGCAUAUUUAAGGGAAAGUGGCAAAAGAGUCAUUGGGAUUCUGUUCUGCACUCAGAACUCACACUGCUGUGCAUCUCUCUGCUGUCAGGUGUUAUCCCUCACUCUUAGAUUCAUCUUUGAGCAGUUGAUGUUGUGUAUUUAUCAUUUCUGGUUUGGCUUCUUAUUGUUUAAUUAAUUGGCAUGAUACAUUUUUACCUGACAAAUAAAAUGUUAUAUUUGAUUGAUUCUGUAUUCUUCUGAAAUAUAUUUUUUUAAGUAGAUUAAUGUGGAGUCUGGUGUUACCGCAUAUAUUGUGUCCAGGAUAGGAUAAUCUGAAGCCCCACGAAUGAAUGGAGCAUAGGGCACAUCAUCAACUCAUAAUGUAAUAAUCUCAUAUGAUGUAAAAACUGCACAUAAUUUAAUAUGUAUUACAUUAUUGUAAUAAAAUGUUCAUAAUGUAAUAAUUUUUCAAUGUAAUAACAAUUUUUCACAUAAUGUAAUGUAAUGUCCCCCAGAAGGACCGAUGCCCACCCACCACAGUCUCACAAAAUCCUGUGGGAAACACUGUGGCAACUUAUAAUGUAAUCACAGUUCAUAAGGACCCCACGUCAGACGUUUUUUUCUGACGUCAUGACACACGAGCCUGUUCUGAACUUCUGCUCGACCACCAUUUUCUUUUUCUCUCCGGACUCGGAUGAAAAAGUGACUAAAAUACAACCCAACGGCUCUUUUGAGAGCAAAAGCAUUGAGCAUCUUUGGCUUUUUAUUCUGUUUCUUGUGUGAUCUGUCUUUGGCUGAUAUUGGCAAAAAAGUAAGUAUUAUAAAAUGUUAUUCUCUAUAUUUUAAAAGUAAUGCAAAACAUUAUAACAUAAUUAUAAAAAACUUAGUGGCAUAUUACAGAAAAAGCCUUACUUCAGAAUCCUAUCUUAUCGGUUUAGUAAUCAUGGCAAUUUCAGUUAGGAGCUCAUGUAGGACAAACACUAUAGCAGAACAACAUUUCCAAAGAGCAUUAAAGGGUUACUUACCCCCAAAAUGAAAUUUCUGUCAUACUCACCCUUAUGUCGUUCCACACCCGUAAGACUUUCGCUCAUCUUCGGAACACAAAUGAAGAUCUACAAAUAGAUUUAAUUUAGACUUUUACUUGCACGAAAACAUUGAUCAGCGAACAUAAGCAGAAGCUCAACCGAACCUGAAUAACGCACAAGAACAAACCUCUUUCAGAAGCUCAAACGUGCUGCAUAACCAUGCGAGUAAAAGCCUCAUAACAAGCCUCAUAACAUAUUUCUCUUCAGAAAAUUUGGACUAAACCAUUUGAUUCAUUUGGAUUAGUUUUUCAAGUUCUUUAUGAACUUUUUGAAGUGUCAAAGUGUCAGUUGCAAAGGCAGUCUAUGAAAGGAAAUCUGACAGCAUUCUGUAAUGAAAAAUAUCUUUAUUUGUGUCUGAAGAUGAACGAAAGUCUUACGGGUGUGUAACGACAUGAGGGUGAGUAAUGAUAGAGUUUUCAUUUUGGAGUGAACCGACACUUUAACUUAAUCUUAGAAAAACUGUAGCAUACAGAAGCAUCCAACCUUUACAAAAAAUCCUAAAAAGUGGCUUUAUAACCCUUUAUAACCCCACUGGUAUCCAAACUUAAAACUAAAAGCCAACUUAACAAUUACAAUACAGUAGCCAACAUAAGAUGGACAGUUUCUGUAAUACACCCACUGGGUUUCAAAUUCUCAAACUAAAGGUGAUGAUACACAGGGCAACUUUCUGAACAAUGGUGCCAAAAGUAUCCAUAUAGAAAUUUGUUGCCCAUUCUCAAUGGGAAAGUGCCCAAGCAACAUUGCUCAAAAAGUUGCCUGUGUAUUAUCAUCUUAAGGCUGGCCUUUUUUAUUCACAGGGAGGAUAUGAACAUACCAAAUACACACAUAAAAAUAUUUUUUUUUAUGUUUUGUUUUUUUCUUUCAAUUUCUGUACUGAUUUUUUAGUUUCAAAUAUUUGCAAUAGGCUUGCCACGAUAUAAUACCGGUUUUACUGGUUAUGAGGGACAAUACUGGCUGAGAUGGGAGCAAGUCACCCAUGUUAGAGUCAAAACCAAGUCCUUACCAUCAAGUCUCAAGUCCCAGUGCACAAAAAAGUCGGUUCCUGCUAAGGAUCAAGUCAAAUCACAGAAAGAAGUUAUGUGGGCACUUCCGAGCUUGUGUUAGAAUGUGCUGUAUGAUUUCUUGCUUGCAGCCUUGCACAUAAAUGUUUGUUAUAUUAUUCAUACACUUGUAUUCAUAUUAUUCAACACUAAAUAAGUGUCUUUAUAGAAAUAAAAUGUAUUUUAUCUAUAGAGGCAAAUAUAAUUGUCCCUUCAUUUUAUAUGGACAGCGAUAUAUGUAAACAUGUCUGGGGACUAUGUUUUCAAUAUUGGGAUAUACCAACAUACCAAAUAAUAAAAUUAUUAGUAAUAAAAAUUA